GUCCCAUCAGACACUGAGCUCAUGCAUGUCUGAGGCAAACUCCAACGGGGGUUUCUUUUCUGUGAUGCGGAGUGCUAACUCCAGGGACUCCAGGGAAAGAAGAAGGUAUCUGCGUGUACUCAGAAUUGGUCUGGGUGCUCAGAGUCAGAAUCAGAGCUGGAACCAUCCUAAAACCAUCACUGAAGGUAAUGGUCUAAGGAUGUACCUGUUGGCCUAAGUGCUUCCUGGUCACAUUGCCUAGCAGCAUGGUGAGCAGCACACGCAAGACUGCAGGCUCCUGAGACAUCACUCUUUCACACAAAGACCCCAAGUGCAACUGGAGAGCCAGCAAACAGCCAUGGGUGAAUAAGCCAGCUCUGGGACAUAGAGAGAGAGAGAGAGAGAGAGAGGCAGAGGAGGAGGGAGAAGCAGGCUCCAUGCCGGGAGCCCGACGCGGGACUCCAUCCCGGGACUCCAGGAUCGCGCCCUGGGCCAAAGGCAGGAGCCAAACCGCUGAGCCACCCAGGGAUCCCCGGCUUCUCUGCUCUGAGUCCAACCCUCUGAAGAGUCCUGGAGCUGACAGUAUGAGACCGGAGCACAGGCGCGAAGGCCGCCUUUCCCACCCGUGGGCCUCCGCGGUGCAGGCUGCAGGACGCCAGCACCGGGGCUAGCGGUACGGGUCAGAGCUGCAGAUGCUGGCUGCUUGAAGUCAGUUUAUUUCUUUUUGAAAUCAAAACAAUUGGAAUCAAGCUGAGACAUCAGCUGAGUGCUAGCACUUUGACUCUCAUCUCUGGACACAUACAGAUCACCCAGGAAGGAAAUAUUAACCGGGAGUUUGUAACUGAGCCAAAGAGGUCCAUGGAUACCUGUGAUUAAAUAUAAUAUUGUGUACAUUCUUUAUCCAUGGAUCUCAGCAGACCCAUAAAAGGGACCGUAAUUCCCAAAUUGUUUAAGAACCAAGGUCCCAGCCCAAAUAAUGACUCCAGGCAGUGCCUGGACACCACCAGCUUCCCCUCCCCAGCAUCAGAGCCCAGCCCUGGCACCUCAGAAGAAUGUCAUUCAACAGCUGGCAGAGAAGUCAUACCUCUUAGCACUUUCCAAUUUGGAGCAGGUUGAGCAGUAGCUUGACAGGCCUGGAAACUGCAUGGUCUGGCUUUGGCUUGUCUCCACUGAUAAGCCCUGUGACAGCGUAUUUCUCAGAUGGUGGGGGCUGUUACAGCUCACGCUUCUGUACCUGGACAGGAUGAAGCUUUCUUUGUGAUCAGAUGUACUCUCAGCCACUUGUCAUCCUCCACACCCGUGAGCCGAUCGCCUGUCACUGAUACUGGGAAUUUUAAUGAAAAUAAAUGAAGUUCUUUGAGUUCCCUGGACAGCAUCCAUUUUAAGAGGAAGACAAAUACCAGCCCGGCCACUGUGGGCUGACUGGAGGGGUAGAUGGGGAAGCAAGCAACUAUUAAAUGUCCAUUUUGCUUCUUGAAGAUUUCAUUCUGAUAAUUGGAGAAGUUUGUGCCCCAGAGCCAGGAGGCAUGUUCUGUGUCAGCCGCGUGACUGACUUGUGCUCCUCAACUCUUUGGGCAGGUCUCUUCUAGAACUCCUUUCCUGCAUCACCGCCUCAUACCCAAAGCGUCCCCUCCCCUUUGAUCUACCUCCUGGGGUGGGUGAGCAGGAAAGCUCAAAUGGGAAGGCAAGGCCUGGAUUCCACGCUUGGCAGAGCCAGCCCGCAGCGGGGAGAAGCACUCACGCAGAAAGGCCAACCACAGCCCAGGAGAAACGACAAUGGAGACGACGCCUCCAACACCUUUGCUAUGGGAUGUUAAAUGUUUUCGGGAAAUACCUACUCCUGAGUUCAACAGCUCACAGCAGCCAGGAAAACAGCCGUUUCAGGGCUUUUGAAGGUCAACGUCAUGGCCCGGUACCAGGAACGGUAUGGCAAUCUUGCUUCUCGUGGGGAUAAACACAGACGAGUGAUUUUUCAGGGAACAAGGAUGAAGUCCUAUCGUUGAACCCCUUCAGUUCAGCCAACUGUCUCUGCCUCUCCUACUGUCUCAAAAUGUAACCGAAUUCUCUACUGGGUUGCUAAAUGAAGGCUUCUGAAAGUAACAGCCUGCCCAACACCAACACAGUUUCUGAUUACCCCCCAGAUACUGCUGAAGGAUCAAUUUGGUAUAUGAUGCUGUAGAAAUUUAUGAUAAAUGGAUUUGUUUCAAUCGGAAGUAAUUCUGUAUCGUGCAAAAUUCUGUAUUGUGUGAAAUUCAAAAAUCACAGAAUCGUUACCCAUGUAAUUAUCCUCAGAAAAGAACACUCUUUUUUUUAAAUUUUUUUUUUUAGAAAAGAACACUCUUAACAGAAGAACAUAACCAGGUCCUCUUCUUCCAAGUGGAAAGAACACUGCUGUUAAAAGGAAGGAUAUACAAGGUUUAAUUUGCCAAGACUGAGUCCCCUUAGAUUAAUGGUCUUUAUUUAGUUUUCCCAAAACAUACAUCAACUGCUUUAGUUUUAUGUAGAUUGUCAAGAAGUGUAUUUCAAACCUCUUUUGAACACUACUGAUUGGAAAGCAGGACACCACUGAAUAUCUUCUCGUGACUGUCUUGAAUUGACAUCCAAGUGCCUUCUGAGGAGAUGAGGUUUGCCUUGUGGUAGGCUCAGCAUAAGUAAUAAUCAGUCCCAUCACAACAGGACACUGCUCUCCAUCUCCGAGAGCAUGUCUGAGGAAAUGAUGGGGCACAUGUGGGAUUGUGCCCUGGGGGAGAGGAGUCUGAAUCUUCCCUUUGAAACUUGAACCCACAACACCAAUGUGCCCCAGCUGUGAGGCCGGAAACUGUGGCCUAGCAGCAGCUACACAUCUGAGUUCACAGACGCUCUAAGCUGUGAAACUCCGGUUGCUUCUGCCCAGACUCCCAAACAUAUGCUGUCUAGAGCACUGAGUACGGGUAGCCAGGGCCAAAUUGAGCAGAACUGAGUAUUUGUAUAUACAAAUGUAAAUAGAAGUGGCCCUGGGGCCUGGUUACCCUGUUCAUGAAUCUUUAAAGCAUCUCCCCAUUAUUGGCCAGAGAAUCUUCUAGAUGUCCAUCAUUAGAGAGCCAGCAUGUCUUGGUUACUAUCUAUUCACAUGCCCCAAAUUAAUCAAAGGUCUGGGUGGGAUCCAGGCUGAAGAUGCCUGUACUGCUUGUGAUUAUAAACAAGUGUGGUGCACACAUUUUAUUGCAGAAGCAAGACCUAGGACAUGCUAGAGCAGCUUAAAUAAAGACUUCUAAGUUCCUUAGAUUUGUUCAACUGGCUACAAAAAUAUUGUAAAUCAAUGGCACCUCAAUCUGAAUUGCCUAAAAUGGUCAUCUUAGCAUUAAUUUGAUGCGCUUGAAGUAAUAACCUAUGCAUUUGCUAAUUUUCUUUUACUCCUUUGAAUCAGUCAAAACAAGCCUCCCAUUUUGUCAUCCUGACUCUUACAACUGUUUUUUUGUCUUCACUCCAGGAAGGGAUUCCAUUAUUUGUUUAGGUGAGACUGUACAUUGGCUUUUCCGCACUCCCUCAUGUUGUAUUCAGAUCAAGCUGAUUCCUAGUUUGUAUUUCAUGUCCACACACCAGGGGCCUACCCGGUCCAUCCACCAGGAGUAGUUAUUCCCCUGUUCAUAAGCAUGGCUAGAAUGGGACCUAGAGAUCAUCUUGUGCAACAGCUUGGUUUUCAGUCGGGGAGGCUCAGGCUCAGAGAGGUGAAAUGACCCACACUUCCAGCACAGCUGGCUUUAGCCAGAGCCUGUUAGUGCUUGAACUUCAAACUCAACACUGAUUUCUUAAAAUGAGGGUUUGGAAUGAAAGGGUCCUCUGAUUCCUGCACUUCUUACAAACACACACAUUUGCUUAUUCUUGCCAAGUUAGUACUGUGUCUUGUGUCACUUCAAUGAUACGCGUGCGUGAGCCUGGCCUCCGGUACAGAUCCGAAAGGGCAGGGGACAGAUUAUCUGGUCAGUGAAGAAAACCAUUUGGUUUACUCAGCAAACGAAGGGAAAUCUGUACUGUUGUGACUCUCUUUAAAUAAAGGACCUAUGGUUAAUUAUUA